rnacentral:tRNA from 1 species
GCGGGCGUAGCUCAGUGGUAGAGCAUCUGCUUCCCAAGCAGAGGGUCGUGAGUUCGAGUCUCAUCGCCCGCUCCU